rnacentral:rRNA from 1 species
AGCAAUCGAAGCAGUGAACUUAAGCCCCAGUAAACGGCGGCCGUAACUAUAACGGUCCUAAGGUAGCGAAAUUCCUUGUCGGGUAAGUUCCGACCCGCACGAAAGGCGUAACGAUUUGGGCACUGUCUCAACAACAGACUCGGUGAAAUUGUAAUUCCGGUGAAGAUGCCGGAUACCUGCGACAGGACGGAAAGACCCCAUGGAGCUUUACUGUAGCUUGACAUUGGGUCUUGGUACUACAUGUACAGGAUAGGUGGGAGGCUUUGAAACCAGGACGCCAGUUUUGGCGGAGCCAUCCUUGGGAUACCACCCUUGUAGUACUGGGACUCUAACCAUAGGCCAUGAAUCUGGUCUUGGGACACUGUCAGGUGGGCAGUUUGACUGGGGCGGUCGCCUCCCAAAAGGUAACGGAGGCGCUCAAAGGUUCUCUCAGUACGGUCGGAAAUCGUACGUAGAGUGUAAAGGCAAAAGAGAGCUUGAUUGCAAGACAUACAGGUCGAGCAAGGAUGAAAAUCGGACUUAGUGAUCCGGUGGUUCUGCGUGGAAGGGCCAUCGCUCAACGGAUAAAAGCUACCCUGGGGAUAACAGGCUUAUCUCCCCC